GCCUCAUUGGCUCAGGGGUAGAGCGUCUGUCUUGUAAACAGAAGGUCGCUCAUUCGAUUGCAGCACGAGGCA
rfam:Angiostrongylus costaricensis strain Costa Rica genome assembly, scaffold: ACOC_contig0002829